rnacentral:rRNA from 1 species
UACGUAGGGUGCGAGCGUUAAUCGGAAUUACUGGGCGUAAAGCGUGCGCAGGCGGUCUGUUAAGACCGAUGUGAAAUCCCCGGGCUUAACCUGGGAACUGCAUUGGUGACUGGCAGGCUUUGAGUGUGGCAGAGGGAGGUAGAAUUCCACGUGUAGCAGUGAAAUGCGUAGAUAUCUGGAGGAACACCGGUGGCGAAGGCGGCAUCCUGGACCAACACUGACACUGAUGAGCGAAAGCCAGGGGAGCAAACGGG